AAAAAGAAAAAAAAUUUAAAUGUGUUAAUUUCUGCUACACAAAGCAAAGUGAUCAUAUAUGCGUGUGUGUGUGUGUAUAUAUAUACAAAUACAUAUGUAUACACAUUCUUUUUUAAAAUAUUCUUUUCCAUGGUGGUUUAUCAUGGGAUAGUGAACGUAGUUCCCCGUGCUGUACAGUAGGACUUGUUGUUUAUCCCUCUAUAACAGUUCACAUCUGCUAACCCCAACCUCCCACCACAUCCCUCUCCCAAGCCUCUCCCCCUGGGCAACCACAAGUCUGUUCUCUAUGUCCAUGAGUCUCUUUCUGUUUCAUAGAUAGGUUCAUUUGUGUCAUAUUUUAAAUUCCACAUAUGUGAUAUCAUAUGAUAUUUGUCAUUCUCUUUCUGACUUCAUGAAUUUUUUCCUUUUUUGCCUUUUUUUUCUUUUUAGGGCCAGACCACUUGCAGCAUAUGGAAGUUCCCAGGCUAGGGGUUGAAUCGGAGCUACAGCUGCUGGCCUACACCACAGCCACAGGCCAGAUCUGAGUCGCGUCUGUGGCCUACAUUACAGCUCGUGACAACGCCGGAUCCUUAACCCACUGAGUGAGGCCAGGAAUGGAACCCACUUCCUCAAGUGGGUUUGUUUCUGCUGUGCUGCAGUGGGAACUGUUGUUCGUAGACUUUAUGAUGAUGGCUGUUCUGACCCAUGUGAGGUGACACCUCAUUGUAGUUUUGAUUUGCACUUCUCUAAUAAUUGGUGAUGUUGAGCAUCUGUUCACGUGCCUUUUGGCCAUCUAUAUGCUUUCUUUGGAGAAAUGUCUUUUUAGAUCUGCCUUUUUUUUUUUAUCAUUAGAACUUUAUUUUUCGGAGCAGUUUUAGGUUCAGAGCAAAAUUGAGGGGAAGGUUCAGAGAUUUCCCAUACGCUCCCAGCCCCCGACAGGCACAGCCUCCCUCACUGUUAACGUUCCCCACCCGAGUGCUCUGCCCAUGUUCUGAUCGGUUGGUUGUUACUUUGUUGUUGAGUUGUGAGAGCUGUUUAUAUAUUUUGGAAAUGAGGCCCUUGUCCGUCGCAUCGUUUGCAAAUGUUUUCUCCCAUUCUGUAGGUUGUAUUUUCAUUUUGUUUACGUUUUCCUUUGCUGUGCAAAAGCUUGUAAGUUUGAUUAGGUCCCAUUUGCUUAUUUUCAUUUUUAUGUCUCUUGCCUUGGGAGACUGCAGAAGGUGAAUCAUGCUUCAUCUCAGCCGUGCUGAUGAUUCCAUUUCCUUUGCCCAUGCCUGGUUUGGGAAUGAAUCUGACACAGUUCUGGCCAGUGAGAUGAGAAGGAAAUUGCCUCCGGGGCACCUCUGGGAAGGGUUUCUUUGCUCUUUAGAAGAGAGCGUUGAGGGGGAACUUGCCUUUUCUGCCUCUAGACAUUCAGUCUGCUCGUGUGACUCGAAGCCGUCUAAGAAACUGGGUCAGCAGGCUGAGGUGGCCAGGCAGAAGGAAGGACCCGGGUCCUCAGUGCUGUGUUUGAUCCACCGCCUUGACCACUCCUGGAGCUGCUGCAUUCGGGGGCUUGUUUUCAUAGGAAACGGCGAACAUUUCGUAAUGGUUUUAGUCAUUCUGAGUUGGGUUUUCUUCCUCGCAGCUGAAAGCAUUUACUUGAG
ensembl:lncRNA